GCGCAGGGGCAGCGAGGGCGCGCGGCGCGGUCCUGGGCAUCGGGGAAAGCGGCCACCGGGGCUGGCCUCCGCGGCUCCGCGCCUCUCCCUCGGCCUCUCCUGCCCCGCGGCGUCCAGCCUGCGCCGCCAGGGCCCCGCGGACCUGCCAACCCGAGGCCAAGAGUGGAAUUGCCCUGCCGCUUUCCCGGGCUUGGCGGAGGGGAUCCCGGCGGGGAGCUCGGCGCUCGCGAUGGCGAUGCGCAGCGAGGAAAGGCGAGGAGCUGCGUGCGGGCUGGGUGCCCUCGGAGCGCCGGGAGGCGGGGAGCGCCCGCCGCGGGGCCGGGGGAUGCUGCCGCUUGGGAACCCCCGCGGCGAAGUCCCUCCAUCUCCGCGGGGCUCCAGCACAGAGGUCGGGGCUGCAGGCCCUUUGGCCUUGGAUGGAAAGUGGGAAAUGGGGCGCGGGGCUGCGGAACCCCUAACGUGGAUUACUUGGUGCGUGUCAGCCGGGCUCAGAAGACCCACGACCUCGUCUCCAUCCUCGGAUUGAUUCAUUCCACCUGGCAGCCGGGUCGCUUUACCUGGAGGUGAAACCAGAGGUUUGAGGCUGGCCUGCGUAGGUGCUCCGAACCAAGAAAGAAGGGCAAGACACAAAGGCCUGGAAAGGAGGGGCGGCUAAGGGCUCCUCUUCCUUGCCCACACGUCCCGCCAGGAAGCCGGGUCGGGCUGGCGUGUGCCGCCAGGAUCCCCGGGAAGGACCCGGCUAAGAUGGGACCAUCUCCUAAGAGGCAAGAGCUCUGGAUCUGAUUAAGACUUCCUCUUCUGGAGAAUGAAGAACGUUCUAGAUUGGAGAGGACAUUGGAGGAGAAAGUAAAGACUCGUGCACUGAGGAGUAGUCUGUGUGUGGACCUGCGUGAGCCGGACGUGACCUGCAUAUAGUUGGCGAGACACCAUCGUCACAGACCUCGUCCUUCCUUCUUGUGGGAGACAUUCCCUGUACCGUCGCCUGGUCUUAAGACUCCGCCCCCCCCCCCCUGCUCCACGCCCCAAUCCCCGGGAACCACAGGGCUUUCUACCGCACCCUUUGUCUUGCCCCCCGGCUCCCCCGUCUGCUGUGCCUUUGGACGCAGUCAUUCUUGUUUGCUCCAUUAUCUUCCAGCCGGAUACAGAGUGAAUAGUUAACUACACUUAGGUCAAAUGGGAUUUUAAUUUUCGUUCCUGUUCCUUCUAAAGCGGCCGGUGUUUGCGUUGCUCUGUGAGCAACGUUGGAAUAGUACGUCCUCUCCCUUAUUUGGGAUCUGGCCCCCUCGGGUUCCAGAGCGAGGCAGGUGAGUGCCGAAGUUCUUCAGGGCUCUCCAGUGUCAGGGACACCGGAGGGGCUCCUGCAGGGGAGCUGGCUCAGGACGGCUGGCGUCCUCCGUGUCCAGCUUCUUUCAUUCGGAUCACACGCAGGUGUAUGUCUGGAAGAGUGAAAAAGACGAUUUGUUCAUCCCGGCUACCUUCUACCUUUUUUAAACUGUAUUUUUGACAUAUAACUGACAUACCGUUAUACUCGUUCCCACCUGUCUUCUGUUGAGGCAGACGCACUGCCCCCUAUGAAGACCCCCUCCCCCCCCCUCGCCACCUCGCAGGUGGCAGUUGGGACCCAUGCCAGAACAUGGUGCUUCCUUACAGACAAUCUGGCUGCCAGAGCUGGUGUGUUUAUUGAGGAUCCUCGUCCCCCAGAAUGCCGAUGACACUCCUGAUGGCAGGUUGGGCCCCGUGAAACACGAGUCAAAUAUUCUGUCACCACCAUGUGCAUGGCUGAAAGCACUUCUAGAUUCGAUCUUGUCUGCAUUGCAGAGCCAACGAUGUCUGCAUGUCCUGCUUCCCCAAAAAACGGAUGGCUCAUUUUUGUAGAAAGAAUUAAAGCUGUACAUAUCCACCUUCUCUAUGUUGUAGGUGAUGGGUUUCUGUGACCGUUUAGUGACUUUGGUGUCUUCUAAGGGGAACAACGGGGACCUUCUUGGCAUCUCAGAUUCACCACAAAAUGAGUGAGGGGACCCUCUUAAGGAAAUUUCGUGCUGUUGAAAUGUGAGGCUUGUCUGUGGGCUGUGCCUUCCUUCCUUGACAUGCACACAGACUCCUCGUCCUGAUUAGAUUCCUUCAGGUUUCAAGGAACAGAGAUCCACUUACAUCACUUCCGUGAAUGAGGGUUUAUUCCAAGUUGCAUUGGAAUGGAAGUAAGGUAGACAGGAAACAGUCUGCCCAGCAGCUGCCUGGCAAGACCUUUCUAGAAGCCCAAAGUCAUUCAAGAUAUCCAUUCGCUACAGAGUUUCCAGGAAGAGCAGGAACUCGGACACCAUGGUCAUUUUGACCUUCUGUUCAGCAGCAGAAAUCACUGCUCCUGCUUUUCGCAUUCGGAGCUGUUCCAGUUUGUCCAGGGCUGAGCAGUUUUCCGGGACACACGACUUUCAGCAAUAAACCUGGGACAGCCCUGGGCAGACCAGAAUAACCGUCACGCUAGUGGGUGACUUGAUGACACUGCCUUUGCUGCUGCUUUACCUGCUGUAGCGAGCCGAUGCUCUCUAGUCUGGCCAGCUGCCAUUCGGAACCCUUGUGUCUGACCACGUCAUUGACCACCGGCUAGGCUACAGAUGGAUGCCAUUGGAUCAAGCACCAAUCUUGACCAAAUCUGGUGUUUCCAGGGUGGUAGGGUUCCAUGAUACUGAAUAAAAACCUGGGUGUCACGAACCAGUCGAGACCACAUGCUUCAGAAGAAGUUCUGUGGGUAGUGGAUAUGGCAGCCAUUCAAAGUAUCAGGGAUUCCUCUCCAAUACAGUCCUACUUAAAAAGAUGAACCUAACCUUUCAUAUUAAGAACAAAGCAAUUCAGUAGGAAACAAAAACAGCUACCGGGAACAGGAGAAAACAGACUACGACGUGUGCGUGCACAUGCGUGUGAGAUACACGCACUUACCACAUAGAAUAAGCCAAGAAGAAAAUUAUGCAUCUUUGCAAGAUGGAGGCUAAGAGCUAAUAAUCAUUGGGAUGGAUGGGGCACCUGGGUGGCUCAGUCGGUUGAGCAUCCGACUUCGGCUCCGGUCACAAUCUCGCUCGUGGGUUCAAGCCUCGAGUCAGGCUCUGUGCUGAUGGCUCAGAGCCUGGAGCCUGCUUCAGAUCCUGUGUCUCCCUCUCCCUCUCCCUCUGCUCCUCCUUUACUCACACUCUGUCUCUCUCUCUCUCAAAAUAAAUAAACGUUAAAAAAAAUUUUAAUGAUUGGGAUGGCAUUGUCUGGAGAGCAAAGGAGUUGGCUGGAAGACUUCCUGAAAUUCCUUUGAACUCUAGGAUUCUUUGAAAUCUCAAGGGUAUGUAAGUUGGACCCAAGUGUGUACUUUCUCUCCAAAGUCUCCUAGAUAACCUUUGAGUUCAACUCCAAUCAUGUUGAAUGGGACCUCCCAGCUCACUCUUACCUUUCCAGACACUGACUUUAUCUGGGAUAAAGGAGCGGAACUUGGUGGUGGUCGUGGGCGGUAGAGGACGGGAAGGUUGUGUCUGCCCAGUUUUCGGUGUUCAUGACAAGUAAGAACAAUCUGAAGGCAAAUUACAGGUUCUUUUCAGGUUAGGCAGAUCCAGGCUUUCAGGAUUGCAUGCCAUUCUGAAGUUGUUGCUUCUUGUCAAGGGAUCAGGCCUCCAUCUUUGCUGUUGAAAGAUGGGCAUGAGUGUCUGCGGUACUAGAACACGAGCCUUCGGCUAAUCCCGCUCCUCUUGCACGCUGUGGCCACAGGGAGGUCUUUGCCUGCUGAGGUAGAAUGAGCACGCAAAAGCCUAGGAACCAGUCUCUCAUUACUCCUGUGUAAAAACUGAGAUUCCCCCGUGCACCUGAGUCUUUGCCCUUGUUCAGACUCUCUCCGCCUUCACCGCCCUUGAAGGAACACUAGCCCAGCUCCUUGGGUGCUGUUUUUCUUUUUACAAAGACGAACUCAUUUCAGACAUUUCCUUCAUUUAUGUCCCACGUACAGUCUUUGGUUCCAGAAGUCUCGCUGUUGUGCCAAAGGCAACAAUCUCCUCUUUCUCUCUCUCCUUAUCUUCUCAUUCACAUAGAAACACAGAACCCCAGAGCUCAAAGUGGUCUGUAGCAUCCUUUAUCUAGAUUUACCUCUGACUGAUGCAGGAAUCCCCUUUCCAACAUCAGACGAGGGACCGUCCAGGCCUGCGGGAGGCAGCCAUUUUGGCAGAGUGGGAGAGAAUGGUGAGAGAGGGGUGGGUGGUAUUCAGCCUGGUGGGGAAGCGGUAGGAUUUUGAAGAGCAAUUCAUAGACUGUCAAGAGACCCUGAAUGUCAAGUUCUUAAUGAGAUUUCGAAGCAGAUGCUUCUUGCCCUCUCCCUGACACACAUCAGCCUCUUGCUUCUGGAUCUCGUGUGUCUUCUGCUGAUAAAAAGCACAGAGUGGGGAGACCAGGAAACCUGAGUUUUCAUCUCAGAGAGCCCCUCACCUUCAAUCCUUCCCUGUAAAAUGGAGGGGUCGGGCCAUGUGAUCCCCGAAGCCUCUUCUGUCUCUGACAUCCACAGGCCAUCCUAUUUAAUAGAGUCCAUGACUUGAAGAUUUGCUGGGGGGUUUUGGCUCAGUAUGAGAAGAGUAAAUCAGAUGUUGCCCAGGGUACAGUGUAAAGGCAUUUCAUCCACAUCCUGAACCAAUUCAUCUUGCUGAAACUCAUUACGAACAGAACCUUAAAUUAGCACCCCAGCCCCAAGAUUUUGUUCAGGCUUCCCUGUGAGAUUUUUCCCAUGGCACUGAAUCUUGACCCACAGGGACUUUUGAUCAUCUACAAAGGGAAACCCUGGUGGUGAUGGAGAGAUAGGAGCUUCUAAUAGUGAAGUAAGGCCCUCUGCUCAGGGGGAUACGCUUUAAAGGGCAUCACACUGACCUUGGGAAUGGCCCUUGACCUUGGACAAGACCCUUCAUGCCAGGCUGGUGGAAAGCAGGGCUGGUUCCCCCCACCUCUGCUUCAGAGUGAGACCUUCUUUGCCCAGGCUACAUCUGUACCCUCGUCCUUCAGCGUUAGAUCCGUUUCUGUGGGUCUCAGUUUUCUCCUCCACCAAAUGGGAGAGGGAAGUUGGUGAUCGUCUCGGGUCCCUCCCAUGUGUCAAGUUCGAAGCCUCCUCUGACCCAGCUGAUGCCUGCGUUUUCUCUGCCAAGUAGCUCCUCUCCCUUGAUCCUCGGCUGCACAAGCCAAAAACCAGGGCUGUCCUGGGAAGUCCAUUACCAAAGAAUACUUCAAAGCUGUUUGCACUAGUUGUCAGUUGCACUAAACUUGAGUUUGUUGAGGCAGAAGAUAAAUAGACAUACAGACUGAUGGCAGGCACGGGGAAGGGGAACUGCUAUUUGCCUGGGUGACAAGGAGCAGGGGGGGAAACCUGCCUGCAGUUUUGACCAAUAAAUAAAAACUGGGCGCUCUGUGUGGCUACAACUGGAGGGGAUUUAUUAGUUUGCUUAGUGAAAAGCAAAUAUUAAGUCUUAAGUUGACCCGUCCUGGGACCUGCCUUUUGGCUUUUGUAUGCCGUCCGGCACCGAUCACCAUGUACUUUGGGUUAUCGAGUUCUGUCAAACGGUGGGGUUUUUUUUUGUUUUGGUUUUGUUUUUUUUUUUAUUGUUUUCCAUCUCCUCCUUUUCUCCGUCCUUUGCCUACCUUCCUCCCUGUUACUGUAACCUCAGGUCUGGGUUUUAAAGGCAUGGGGAUAGCAGGGUGUGGAAGACGCAUUGUCCUGGUCAUGAAGCUGUCUAUAUUCAGGGCUCCCACUGGCCUAGGGACUGCCCAGUUCCCGGAACGGAGGCUCGGGGGGGAAGGGGUUGUGAGCCCACCAGGUGGUCCUUGUGGGGCCCCUCCGUCCUCGGCCCUGAGCAUAAUUAUGGGCAAUAGGAAAAGCUACGCAUUCAUAUGUGACUGUUCAUGCUGAACAGUGAUUUCAGCCAGAUGCACUGAAAGACGAACCACUGAAGGUAACACUGUGAGUGCUAAUUGGGGUCUGACCAGGGUUUCUCAUGAUCCGUGGAGCGAAACGUCCAGACCAGAGGGGCUGGACAGACACCUGAUCUCUCCAGUUUCCAAGUAUGAGCUGCAAUGAAGCUCAACAACCUGAAAGAUUCUUUACCCUUUGCCUCAAGCGUCCUCAGUGCGAGCCAGUCUAUUCUAAAUCACUGCAGCCUGUGGCUUCUCGGGCCUCAUGGGUGCUGCUCGCUGACACCUACCACGGUGGGUACAGUCCACCAGGGCACAGGGCUGCAUGUCAGACCCUCAGGGCCCUGGCCACUCUGGCAACUGUCCACAGAGGAUGCACCUUAAGGGCCAGUUCAGGAUAUAAUGGUUCACUGCCACUACUCCUGUAGCCAAGAGUUGGGAACGUUCUGGAAUGGCUUAAUUAAGAAAGUUCCUUUCACAUUCCAGUGGUGAUUUUUGAUUGAACUCGGCACGAUUUUUAAUCCUCUGGCAAUUCUUCCUGGAUGAGUCUAUUUUUAAAAAGGUCGAUGUUGGGUACCCAGGCUGCUGAAGUCCUACUGAUCCUUCAAGGCUCAACUCAAAGGCUCCCUUCUCUGGGAAGCCUCCCUGAAUUCCUUCUUCCCUGUCAACCAGGCACAUGUCCUUUUAAAGCAGCUGGCAUUGGACGGGUACUCAAGAGAUGGCUGAUCUCUCCUUCCUGGACCCCGGCACUUUUCAUAUGUCUUUUACUGCACUUACACUGAACUUAUUUUAACUAUUCCUUCUUCCUUUUAACUAUCUCCUUCUCUCCCCUGUCCCGACCCUUAUAAGAGCAGGACCUGGGUCACUCCUUAUACAUUGAAAUUUAUCCCUGAGAUGCCCCCUCAUGUUAAUGAUCACGUGGCAGGCACUGUGGUUGACAUUUAAUCCUCAGAAAACAGAACCACAUGGAUCAAUCGCUCGGACCCAUUCUUACAUGUGAGGGUUCAGAUCAAAAUUGAGGUCAUUAAGGGGCCUCAAGUUCAGAGCUCUUCAGUUGCUGCAUGAUGGCUUGAACAUGGCAGAUGUACAAGAAGGAUGUCGAAUUGAGUUUUCCUACUAAUGACCUGUCACUGUGUCGCCCACCAAACUGCCAGUUUCUUGUUUGCCCACUAUUCAUCAAUAAAGUGUUUUCUUUUUCUGAA